rnacentral:rRNA from 1 species
UAGGGAAUCUUCCACAAUGGGCGAAAGCCUGUUGGAGCAACGCCGCGUGUGUGAUGAAGGGUUUCGGCUCGUAAAACACUGUUGUAAGAGAAGAAUGACAUUGAGAGUAACUGUUCAAUGUGUGACGGUAUCUUACCAGAAAGGAACGGCUAAAUACGUGCCAG